rnacentral:rRNA from 1 species
CCCUUAGAUGUUCUGGGCUGCACACGUGCUACACUGGCAGGUUCAGCGAGCUUCAUGCCCUGAUCUGAAAGGAAUGGGAAAUCUUUUCAAAACCCGCCGUGCUUGGUAUAGAUGUUUGCAAUUAUUCAUCUUCAACGAGGAUUGCCUUGUAAGCGCACGUCAUCAGCGUGCAUUGAAUACGACCCUGUAUUCUGUACACACCGCCCGUCGCUCCUACCGAUUGAAGUUUUCGGUGAGUAGACAGGAGGAUUUUUUUGAAACUGGUUCGCCAGUGGAUUUUAGAUCCAAAUGCCAACGAAUCGAUGGCUUUAGAGGAAGGAGAAGUCGUAACA